rfam:Otolemur garnettii contig081511, whole genome shotgun sequence.
AUACGUACCAGGCAGGGGAGAUACCGUGAUCUCGAAGGUGGUUUUCCCAGGGCAAGGCUUAUCCAUUGCACUCCAAAUGUGCUGGCCCCUGCAAUUUCCCCAAAUGCGGGAAACUGGACUGCAUAAUUUGUGGUAGUGGGGAACUGCAUUCACACUUUCCCUUG